rnacentral:misc_RNA from 1 species
GAAUUAUGUUUCUAGAUGGGUUGUAGCUGGCUCUUUGGAGCAUGUGCACGCCUGUUUGGAUUUCAUUUUCAUCCACCUGUGCACCUAUUGUAGUCUUUGGUUUGGGUAUUGAGGAAGUGGUCAGCCUAUCAGCAUUUGCUGGAUAUGAGGAGUUUGCAGUGUGAAAGCAUUGCUGUCCUUUACUUGGCCAUGGAGUCUUUUGCCUGCCCAGAGUCUAUGUCAUUCAUUAUACCCUGUCGAAUGUUAUCGAAUGUCUUUACAUGGGCUUUCAUGCCUAUGAAAAUUAUAAUACAACUUUCAGCAACGGAUCUCUUGGCUCU